rnacentral:rRNA from 1 species
GACGAACGCUGGCGGCGUGCUUAACACAUGCAAGUCGAGCGGUAAGGCCCUUCGGGGUACACGAGCGGCGAACGGGUGAGUAACACGUGGGUGACCUGCCCCCAACUCUGGGAUAAGCCCGGGAAACUGGGUCUAAUACCGGAUAUGACCUCGGAUCGCAUGGUCUUGGGUGGAAAGUUUUUCGGUUGGGGAUGGGCCCGCGGCCUAUCAGCUUGUUGGUGGGGUGAUGGCCUACCAAGGCGACGACGGGUAGCCGGCCUGAGAGGGCGACCGGCCACACUGGGACUGAGACACGGCCCAGACUCCUACGGGAGGCAGCAGUGGGGAAUAUUGCGCAAUGGGCGAAAGCCUGACGCAGCGACGCCGCGUGGGGGAUGACGGCCUUCGGGUUGUAAACCUCUUUCGACCUCGACGAAGCGAGAGUGACGGUAGGGGUAGAAGAAGCACCGGCCAACUACGUGCCAGCCGCCGCAGUAAUAC